rnacentral:rRNA from 1 species
ACGGGUGAGUAACACUGGUCAACCUACCCAUGAGUGGGGGAUAACUAGCCGAAAGGUUAGCUAAUACCGCAUACGACGCGGAGGGCAUCCUCCGCACUUAAAAGCCGCAAGGCGCUCGUGGACGGGACCGCGUCCCAUUAGCUAGUUGGUGAGGUAAUGGCCCACCAAGGCUCCGAUGGGUAGCUGGUUUGAGAGAGCGACCAGCCACACUGGGACUGAGAAACGGCCCAG